rnacentral:snRNA from 1 species
AUCGCUUCUCGGCCUUUUGGCUAAGAUCAAGUGUAGUACCUUAAGAUGUGCUCAUGUGAAGGAAAACUUUAUCGAGCCUUAGGAAUAAAAUAAAACCCAUUUCCUCUCUGCAUGUGUUACCUUGCUUGGUGACGCAUGGGUGCAGUGCUCUCUAAGAGCAUGUUCAGGGUGGUCAGCUUUU